UACGAAGGGAGCUAGCGUUGCUCGGAAUCACUGGGCGUAAAGGGUGCGUAGGCGGGUCUUUAAGUCAGGGGUGAAAUCCUGGAGCUCAACUCCAGAACUGCCUUUGAUACUGAGGAUCUUGAGUUCGGGAGAGGUGAGUGGAACUGCGAGUGUAGAGGUGAAAUUCGUAGAUAUCCGGAAGAACACCAGUGGCGAAGGCGACACACUGGCCCGUUACUGACGCUGAGGCGCGAAAGCGUGGGGAGCGAACAGG
rnacentral:rRNA from 1 species